AGCGUCAGCGGCGCUGGCUCGGCCGAGUGAGCGUUGUUGCCGACUACGGUUGGCGACACGUUAUCACUCAUGCCUUGUCCGGUGUCGUCGUCGUGCACUUCUCCUCUAGUAGAACGUCGCGACCCGUUGGGUGCCGGUCUACGGUCCGAGCGGUAGACUGUCGCGUCGCUUCGGCGCACGCGUCAGACCCUCGGUCUCCCGGCCGGCUGCCCGGCGGUCGAACUUAUAAGGUAUCUUGCCGCAAUUAUCGAACUGCGUCGGGCCCGCCGCAAGCGCGGUCAGUGUCUC
rnacentral:rRNA from 1 species